rnacentral:tRNA from 1 species
GAGAGAGGUCUUGAGACAACAAAAACUGCUAAUUCUUGGACCCAUGGUUAAACUCCACGGCUCACUCG